UCGGACUUUUGAAUGAGAAGGAGCAGAUAUCACUCCCCCAGAAAGUUGAGACCUGUGUGUGUUUCAUGUUUCCAACACAGGAGCACCAACACUUUGGAGGAAAUAGAACAUGAGGUUCCUACCUGAGGUCAAAGAGGAGAAAAGGAUGGAGGUGCGCCUCGAAAGGGAAGAAAAAAGAACACCCCCCCCCUGACGUUUUCGCCUGGUCUGGAGAUGCUUUGAGGCUGCCGGUCGCUCUCAGCAGCACUCACGAGGAGAGGCGGCCAAUUAAGAAUCAGGAGAGGGGGGAUGCUCGCCGGCUGAUUGGCUCAGGCUGCCAUCCGAACAUCCUGGGAGCGGAGACACCCACCCUGCCUUCCAUGCACACACAUUUGUGCAACUUGAUGUGGAAUGUAGAGCAGGCGUGACAGCAGGGAGGACUUGGCUGCAAACAGGAACACGGAGAGGGAGAUGCAUUUAAAACUAAUGGAGGCCAUCAAAUGUUAACACACUUUUAUGCAUGAGGGAACAUAUGGAUGGAGGCCAACAUUAAAGGAGGGGGUCCAAUUCAAUGUAAAUCACAUGCACAUAAAGAAUGUGACAUACCUGCCUGGACAUGAUCAAACAGCUAUAGACUUUUUUUAUUUAGCUUUCCUCAUUGAUGAACACUUUAAAGCAGGGGUCCCCAAACUACGGCCCGCGGGCCAGAUACGGCCCGCCAGCGUCCAAAAUCCGGCCCGCGGGUAGUACCAAGUAAAAAAAAAAUUAUUUUAUUUUAUUUUUAUUUUUUUUUAAAUCUGUUUUUUUUCACCCAUUCAUCAAUCCAUUUUCCACCACUUGUUACUGAGUCUCCUAGGCAGAUACGGCACACCAGCGUCCAAAAUCCGCCCCGCGGGUAGUACCAAGUAAAAAAAUAUAUAUAUAUAUAUAUAUAUUUUUUUUAAAUCUGUUCUUUUUCACCCAUCCAUCAAUCCAUUUUCCACCUCUUGUUACUGAGUCCCCUAGGCAGAUACGGCACACCAGCGUCCAAAAUCCGCCCCGCGGGUAGUACCAAGUAAAAAAAAAAUUUUAAAAAAUUAAUUUUUUUUAAAAAUCUGUUCUUUUUCACCCAUUCAUCAAUCCAUUUUCCACCGCUUGUUACUGAGUCUCCUAGGCAGAAACAGCACACCAGCGUCCAAAAUCCGGCCC